AUACGUAGGGAGCGAGCGUUGUCCGGAAUUACUGGGCGUAAAGGGCGCGUAGGCGGCGCUUCAAGUCGUCUGUCAAAUGGGAGGGCUUAACCCUUUUUCGCAGACGAAACUGGAGAGCUUGAGAAGCAGAGAGGCAAACAGAAUUCCUGGUGUAGCGGUGAAAUGCGUAGAUAUCAGGAAGAAUACCAGUGGCGAAGGCGGUUUGCUGGCUGCAUACUGACGCUGAAGCGCGAAAGCCAGGGGAGCAAACGGGAGUAGAUACCCCGGUAGUCCUGGCAGUAAACGAUGUAUGCUGGGUGUGAGACUAGCGAUAGUUUCGUGCCGAAGUUAACGCGAUAAGCAUACCGCCUGGGGAGUACGGUCGCAAGAUUGAAACUCAAAUGAAUUGACGGGG
rnacentral:rRNA from 1 species